GGAGGGUAAGCGAAUGGCUAGCAGCCUCAUUGGAAAUGAGGUGUCCCCGAAAGGGAUUGCGGGUUCGACUCCCGUGCCCUCCG
rnacentral:tRNA from 1 species